AUUGAACGCUGGCGGCAUGCCUUACACAUGCAAGUCGAACGGCAGCACGGGUGCUUGCACCUGGUGGCGAGUGGCGAACGGGUGAGUAAUACAUCGGAACGUACCUUAUCGUGGGGGAUAACGCAGCGAAAGCUGUGCUAAUACCGCAUACGCCCUGAGGGGGAAAGCGGGGGAUCGAAAGACCUCGCGCGAUUAGAGCGGCCGAUGCCUGAUUAGCUUGUUGGUGGGGUAAAAGCCCACCAAGGCGACGAUCAGUAGCUGGUCUGAGAGGACGCUCAGCCACACUGGGACUGAGACACGGCCCAGACUCCUGCGGGAGGCAGAAGUGGGGAAUUUUGGACAAUGGGGGGAACCCGGAUCCAGCAAUGCCGCGUGAGUGAAGAAGGCCUUCGGGUUGUAAAGCUCUUUUGUCAGGGAAGAAACACCGGCUCUAACACAGUCCGGGAAUGACGGUACCUGAAGAAUAAGCACCGGCUAACUACGUGCCAGCAGCCGCCGUAA
rnacentral:rRNA from 1 species